rnacentral:piRNA from 1 species
UAUAGAUGUGUCAAUUGUGGCUGAGCACAAC